CCUACGGGUAGCAGCAGUGAGGAAUAUUGGUCAAUGGACGCAAGUCUGAACCAGCCAUGCCGCGUGCAGGAAGACGGCUCUAUGAGUUGUAAACUGCUUUUGUACGAGGGUAAACGCAGAUACGCGUAUCUGUCUGAAAGUAUCGUACGAAUAAGGAUCGGCUAACUCCUUGCCAGCCGCCGCGGUAAUACGGAGGAUUCAAGCGUUAUCCGGCUUUAUUGGGUUUAAAGGGUUCGUAGGCGGUCGGAUAAGUUAGAGGUGAAAUCCCGAGGCUCAACUUCGGAAUUGCCUCUGAUACUGUUCGGCUAGAGAGUAGUUGCGGUAGGCGGAAUGUAUGGUGUAGCGGUGAAAUGCUUAGAGAUCAUACAGAACACCGAUUGCGAAGGCAGCUUACCAAGCUACUUCUGACGUUGAGGCACGAAAGCGUGGGGAGCAAACAGGAUUAGAUACCCUUGUAGUC
rnacentral:rRNA from 1 species